CCAAACUUGGUCAUUUAGAGGAAGUAAAAGUCGUAACAAGGUUUCCGUAGGUGAACCUGCGGAAGGAUCAUUACAAAAGUUAUACACUUGGGGAACGGACUCGUCCUUCGGGACUUGAGGCCUGACUCCAUUUGUAACACAACUUUCAACCACUUGUGAACAUGUAACAAAUUUUUAUCUCACCAAUUGACUGUUAACGAAGUCUGAUUCAAAUUGUAUUGGUGUUUAUAGACACUAGUAAAAUAUGAAACAACUUUUGGCAACGGAUCUCUUGGCUCUCGCAUCGAUGAAGAACGCAGC
rnacentral:misc_RNA from 1 species